rnacentral:rRNA from 1 species
UACAAGCGGUGGAGCAUGUGGUUUAAUUCGAUGCUACGCGAAGAACCUUACCAGGUCUUGACAUUUUCUGCUAACCUAAGAGAUUAGGCGUUCCCUUCGGGGACGGAAUGACAGGUGGUGCAUGGUUGUCGUCAGCUCGUGUCGUGAGGUUGGGUUAAGUCCCGCAACGAGCGCAACCCUUAUUGUCAGUUGCCAGCAUUUAGUUGGGCACUCUGGCGAGACUGCCGGUGACAAACCGGAGGAAGGUGGGGAUGACGUCAAAUCAUCAUGCCCCUUAUGACCUGGGCU